rnacentral:rRNA from 1 species
AUACGUAGGGGGCGAGCGUUGUCCGGAAUGACUGGGCGUAAAGGGCGUGUAGGCGGCCGAUUAAGUCUGGAGUGAAAGUCCUGCUUUCAAGGUGGGAAUUGCUUUGGAGACUGGUUGGCUUGAGUGCGGAAGGGGUAAGUGGAAUUCCCAGUGUAGCGGUGAAAUGCGUAGAGAUUGGGAGGAACACCAGUGGCGAAGGCGACUUGCUGGGCCGUAACUGACGCUGAGGCGCGAAAGCGUGGGGAGCGAACAGGAUUAGAUACCCUGGUAGUCCACGCGGUAAACGAUGAAUGCUAGGUGUAGGGGGUAUCGACCCCUCCUGUGCCGGAGUGAACACAAUAAGCAUUCCGCCUGGGGAGUACGGCCGCAAGGUUGAAACUCAAAUGAAUUGACGGGG